UUGAGCAAGCCUUUGGGACCGCGCAACAAGGGGCUUUCCACUUAUGAAAAAGAACUUUUGGCAAUCCUGUUGGCUGUUGAACACUGGCGGCAAUAUCUGCAAUCUGCUGAGUUUGUGAUCAAGACAGAUCAGCACAGCCUGGUACACCUCGAAGAUCAGCGUCUGCACACCCCAUGGCAGCAGAAAGCGUUCACUAAGCUCUUGGGGUUACGCUACCGUUUGUGUUAUCGCAGGGGAGCUGACAAUAGCGCGGCAGACGCACUCUCACGUCGGCCGAUCUCAGAAACUGAUGACCUUUAUGCUAUAUCCCUCUGCCAGCCAGAAUGGCUUGAUGAAGUACGCCAAGGUUAUACACAGGACCCAUUUACUAAGAAG
rnacentral:rRNA from 1 species